AAAGGGGAAAAGAAGGAAGGAAAUGAAGAAAGAAAGAAGAGAUAAAUAUAGGAUGGAUGGACUCAAGAAUUAAAGAAAGAAGGAAAUCAAAAAAGAAAGAAAAAGAAAGAGCAUUAGAAAUAGAGACAAAUAUUAACAGGACAGAAAGAAUGAAAGAACAAAAGACAAAGAAAAAGGGAAAAUUAAAAAAGAAAGACAGUAAAAGAAGAGAGGGAAGAAACAAAGAAAGAUUGAAAAGAAAGAAGGAAAGAAAGAUUGAAAGAAAACAAAGGAAGAAAGCUAAAACUAUCAUCAUAAAUAAAUUAUCAGUUUCUUUUUGGCUCAAUUAAAAUAUACUAGUACUAGCUACGAAAGAAACCAAGUGUAUCAACACACACACAAAUGCAUAUGUGGGGCUAUCAUGUAUUCAGACGAUAUCACUCGAAACCCGAUCUCUUUGAACUAAAACAGAAGUGAAAAUUUCUCCUUUUACUGCUUACAAAUGACAGAGUUACCCCAAUUUUGGCAAAUUUUUAGGAAAUAUGGACAUUAUAAGAGCUUUUCAUUAGUGUGAAAUGUGAAUUUUGCCAGUUCUGUGAGAGAUUUCUGCCAGAGGUUAGCCAAGCUUCGUUCAUGCAGCCAGUAGGAAAUUUACCAUGUGGGCUGUGUGGCUGGCUAGCCACGUGUACACUGUAUGUUACCCUAUCAAAAAUUGCAUGCGAUUCAUUCUGUGUGUGUUCUGUGUGUGAAUGCCAGAAUUUAACGGGGGAAAUGAGUCAUGGAAUAUUUUUCAUGUUUAUGUUGGACUAGCGAAUUUGACCAUUUCUGAAAAAGUUACUGGCCCAACAAUAGUUUUUAUUACUGUUUAUGUCGGACCCAUAAAUCUUGCUAUUUUUGGAAAAAUUACUGGCCCGACAAUGAUAUUUUUUACUGGUCAUGUCGGACCAGUAAAUCUUGCUAUUUCUGAAAAUCUACUGGUCCGACAGUGAUUUUUACCGGUCUGGGACCGUCGGACCGGCGCUAGUGUCGAGCCCUGACUAGCCAAACGUGUUUAUAGAGUAUUUUUUUCCCCGGGGUCAAAUGGUGAUAACUUGUUUAGGGGCCAAAAUGUGUAAAUAAAGCCUGCAAAAAGCUUGUUUAGGGAGUUAUUUUGCACACAGAGAUAAACUUGUGUAGGGGGUGUUUGGAAAUACUUUGGCCACUCGUGUGUCCAGCAAUACAUUUGACAAGACUCAAGAGACAAGAGUCCCUGUAGAUCUACAGAUCGAGUUAGAUCUUUGGUCUCUGUAAUUGAAAAUUGGUGAGUGGAGCCAAUCGAGUUCAGCGGAACAAUAUAACAGAAACUGAAGCUUUUGGUCUAUUAAAAAGAAAAAUCAAGCCAUAGAAGUCGUGUUUUGUGGAAGCCAGAAGUGGCGUCGCAGCACGCGCAACCCACUAGUUAGAUAUAUGAUGGGGUGUCCAAACUUCGCGCACUUUUCAAAAAUAUUCAUCAGGCUGAUUUUUUUUCACAAAAUAUUCAUAAUUCAUACAAAAAGAAUUCAAGAAAUAGUUACCACAUUGACGGCAAGAUCGUAAAGUAUAAAAUCAUGGACGAAAAUGUGAAGUAGGUCAAGGGCUUUCGCCGGUAUCGCGAUCUCAAAAUUCUAUUCCGAUCGGCGAAUGCGCGCUGUGCUGGAAAACCGUUCAGAAAAAGUGUGACCUAACUUCGCGGACCAAAGUUUUUGUGGAAAUUUAAACAGAAACUCAAGCUGAAAAAGUGAAAAAUUUAUAUCAGAUUGAUGGCAAAAUGCUAUAGAAUCGGUUAGUACCAUAUUUAACUUACAUUUUUGAUGAUUUAUGCUUGCAAAAUGGUGAUAUCGUGAUGCUUGUUGAGAAUAUCAGAUUUCUUUAAAACGGGCGCUAACGGCGACAAAUUUGCCGAUCUUUUGCCAAUAUUUUCAUGAAUACUGAACUCAUCCUAAAGAAACUUACACCAAAGGGUAAUUUUAGGUCGCUUUUCACGUUGGUGGUGUCAGAUUUUAAGGAUAUUGGCUAGUUUUUUAGAUAAUGACCGUCCGCGAAGUAUGGACACGCGCGAAGUUUGGACUCACUGCCAUACAUGAAAACUACACUGCCAAAUGCGGUUCUUGGUAUGAGGUUAGUACCGUACUAAUACUAAUCUCGCACUAUUAGUGUGAAUGGACGGGAGCCGUUUCAUAAAGCUGUUCGUAAGUUAAGAGCGAUUUUUAAGAACAACUGGUGAAACCUUCUUACGCGCUAAAUUGCCAAUUCAUCUACCACAAGAAAGGGUCACCAGUUGCUCUUAACUUUAAACUUGCUUACGAACAUCUUUAUGAAACACCCACCUGGUGUUGCUUUCGCUCUUCCUCUGGCCUCUGCCAGUGGCAUCCGGACGCGUUGCCAGGCCAGGGGCAGGGCCAGCAGGCAGGGUGAGGCUAGCCAGGAGGCACUGUCACACUCUAGUGUUAAUGGCUAUAUAUUCAAAUCAAAAUUUGUGUUUUUUUUUUUUGGGGGGGGGUGAGAAAUUUGGAUGGGGAACCACCCUUGGAUGAAAUUUGAUCACCUUGAUCUAUAUCUAGGCUGGUAAUAUUCCUUAAUAGAGGGUGCUGUGCGUGAACACGUCUUUUAUCUUCAUGCGGAUUGAUUUUGAUAGACAUGUUUAACAAAUGGAAGUCCUUGAAUCUUGUUUUUAAAGAGAAGCAUGGAACAUCAGACAAUUGCAGCAUACAAUAUAGGAUUAGAAGUGGAAAAUGUCCUUGAAAGUUGAUUUUACGAUCCUACAUGUAUAUGAGGAGCAUCAGUCAAUGUAUUAUUGAUCGCAGUUCGUAUUGUUAAGGUUAUUUUGAAGCAGUCAGUAGGCAGGUCCCCAAAAAGUGACUUCUUUCAUCCAAGUGAUAUUCAUGACAAGAGAAGUUUUGCAUACUUAGUGAGCUUGAUGCGGACCAAAACACCUCUUUUCAUUCGGCCAUUGCUGAUCGAAUUGUUCAUCAAAUUUCAUGAUUUUGUAUUAUUGUAAAGGAGGAGAAUCAUUCUUUCAGGUCAUGUGUUUGAAUUUAUUCAAGGAUUUUGUUAUGUAGGUGAAACUUUUGAUCUAAACUAUGCUAAAAAAUAAUUAUUUUCACCUGACAAAAGGUGCUAUUUUUAUACUUUAUUAUUGUUUGAGCCCAAAUGAUUUUUAGAUCAUGAUAAAGCUGGAUAUGUAUGCUUUAAAAUGGUAUAGGUUUCAAAAUAAGAAUUUGUUUAAUCGUGUCAAGAUCACACUUUUCAUUGGCCAAGUACAUAAAGCAGCUUGAAAACAAGAACACUGCACUCUGAUUGGUCAAAUAGACCACACACUGGCAAAUUCCAACGGUUCCACUCCAGUGCCUGGGUUCACGGGAAGGUCACACUCCCCAUGUGGUAAUCUCCUCAAAUUACCUGCGCCUAUUGUUUUGAGAACCUUAUCCAGCCAAUCAGAACUCUGGAUUUCAUGCUAAUCCAAAAUUUCAGAAAUCUCGUCUUGUACCUUGAUGGGCAAAGUGUGAUCUUGACCCGAUUAAAAGGUGCCGCAUAUCAAGAGUGACAUUGUGAGAAAGUACAGAAGUUCAGCUUUAUGGUGAUAUAGACAGACCUGCCAACCAGUACGUUUUAGCCGUAUUUAGUACGUUUUUGUAACCAAAAUACGGCAGUACGUUUUUUCUUUAAAAAAUAUGUUUUUUGUUUUUUUGUAAAAAAAAAAAAAAAUCUCUAUGGCCCGAAUUCUCGAAGGGUGGCUAACUUAGCCCAUGGUGCUAAAUCGCGUCAUUUGACGUCAUUUAGCCCAUGGUGCUAAAUUUUGCAUUUCUCGAAGCUCGGCUAACUUAGCCCGGGCUAAAUCGUGGGCUAAAUCGCGUCAUUUGACGUCACAAAUUUAGCCACCCCUUUGGCCAUGGGCUAAAUCGUGGGCUAAAUUAGCCCACUGAUUUUGACCAAUCAGAAAGCAGAUUAUCAACAUGAACAAUAAUUGUUUUAUUUUCUGCAUCGCGAGAACGAGUCGACGAUAUGGACGGGAAGGGGGUCGUAAUGCCGUAUUUAUCUUCACAUCUUCGAACAAAACCGCACUACCUAAGCCACAAUACUGAAAAUGGCUAAUGUUCUCCAACAGUGUCGUCACUCAUCAUUGUUGAGUAUGGAGUAUGGAAAGAGAGAUACUUGAACAUGUUGGAAUGUCACCUUGAGGACCAAGAUAUGGGGAGAAUAAUGCUUGAAUGGUGCACAGAUGAGUCUUUUCAACUCUGGUAUGCUUCUCCAAGAAAACGGCCAUGCACAUCACCAGAAUGCUAGAACAGGAUCAGGGAGUGAAUAUCUGAGGAAGGGUUCUUUUCCAGUACUUUGAUACAAUUGUCUUCACUUCAUUUUUUUGCUGUUGGUAUCCUUUGCUCUUCUUUUUUGAUGAAUUCCUGCCUGCAUUCUCUCGUCAAUCAAUCAAGAUAGCGUGCUAUUUCGCAUUCCAUUGGCCAUGUCAUAAUCUACGCAUGAACAUGGACACUGAGUUAAAACUGGUAGCUUGCUCAAUCCCGUACAUCUCUUGACUGUCACCAGCUCGUUAUUCCUAGAGGUUUUAAAGCUACUGUACCACAGCCAAUUUAGACAGCACCAUCUCAAGACAUAAACUCCUGUACCUUGUAACACCAGGAUGUAAUAAAUUGACAGGUUUAUUACUUAUUUGCAAAGAAAAUAAUAUUUUCUUAGUUGUUGGGGUGUUUCCACGCAUUCCUGUAUUUCAAUAGUGAUCUAAUGACCAUCUUGCUUUUAAAACCCAAAUUCACAAUAUUUUUCUUGUUUGAUAAAAGGUUAGGUACUUCUGGGUGGAUAUAAAUGACACACAUGUUGGGUUAAUAAGCAACAGUUGUAUCAUACUUAACUCAGUUUUGCCAAGAGAUGGACCGACUUUAGGUCAUUCUUAUUAUUCAAGUCUAUUGUCUCACUUAUCUUUUUUUUAAUUAAGAAUCAAUGCUUAAAUCCUCAUGGUUUCAAUUUUAACCCUAUAGACUGGGCUAUUUCAACAUCUAAGAAGACUGGGGGGGGGCUGAUUCAGCCCCCCGCCACCCCCAGGUCUUCUUAGGAUUAAGACCUGUUUAUUCAUAAAAUAGUCACUUGCCUUGGCAUGUGCAGCUCCCUAAUGUGUCAAAUUUAAAUCAUAUAAUUUCAUUUUGGUGAAUUAAUAUCCUUUUACUUUCCAGCUUUUCGUAGGCACUUCGAUACACUGAAAUGAGCACUAUAUAAAUGCAAACUACCAGUAAUAUUAUCAAUUUAAUAUUACUAUUAUUAUGAUUGAAUCAUCCUUCUUUAGUGUCUUUCAGAAAUAUAUUUGACAUUUUUUCCGAGUAUCUUAUCAUUCAUAGUGAUAAAUGUAGACAGUAAAUUAAUUUUUUUUGUGUCAUAUAAACGACUUUUGAUCUAAUUAAAAAAAAAACAAUGUACUGAAUAAACUAAUCUAUCUACUAU